GUUUACUGUAAAAUACUGUCAAUGUUUAAUUAAGCGAGAUGCAAGUGAGUUACACGCAGGAUUCAAGCGCUGCUCUUCGACGGUACCGACGUUCAUGGCGCAAUGAUUUCGUCUGGAAUUCCUCAAGUAGUCAGAGAGAUGGUGGCGGAAAGAGGGGAAGUGUGGGAAUUUUGACGCACUUACCAAGUUGUUGGUCCAACUGCGAGGACUAUCACGUUCGUUGGGGCACGAAGUAGUGUUAUUCCUGCAUUUGAUUUUAGGCACCGUUCCAGUACUCGAACGGUUCAUCUUCCUGCGGUCUUCAGACAUAUUAUGCGAACCGGCUUAUUCAAGACACACUUUUACUAACAUAUUAGAAGCAAUUACAACUCAAACAAUAGGAAAAUAUUGCAGCUAUUUUUAUUUAAAAUCCGACAAUCAUUUUAUGUCUACUUUUUGACAAUGGACAGAAGUGACGUUUAACAGAUGUUGCAUGUGGGUUGCAUAACUUGAACCAUUUUUGAAUUUAAAUAUUAAAACGAGUAAAUUUUU